GUGGGGAAUCUUCCGCAAUGGACGAAAGUCUGACGGAGCAACGCCGCGUGAACGAUGACGGCCUUCGGGUUGUAAAGUUCUGUUAUACGGGACGAAUGGUACGACGGUCAAUACCCGUCGUAAGUGACGGUACCGUAAGAGAAAGCCACGGCUAACUACGUGCCAGCAGCCGCGGUAAUACGUAGGUGGCAAGCGUUGUCCGGAAUUAUUGGGCGUAAAGGGCGCGCAGGCGGCGUCGUAAGUCGGUCGUAAAAGUGCGGGGCUUAACCCCGUGAGGGGACCGAAACUGCGAUGCUAGAGUAUCGGAGAGGAAAGCGGAAUUCCUAGUGUAGCGGUGAAAUGCGUAGAUAUUAGGAGGAACACCAGUGGCGAAAGCGGCUUUCUGGACGACAACUGACGCUGAGGCGCGAAAGCCAGGGGAGCAAACGGGAUUAGAAACCCCUGUAGUCC
rnacentral:rRNA from 1 species